UCUGGUCCCCACCCGGGCCUCACCUGGACCUGGUGAAUCUGGUCCUUACCUGUUCCUUACCCAGACCUGGUGACUGUGGUCCCCACCUGGGCCUCAA
rnacentral:miRNA from 1 species